rnacentral:hammerhead_ribozyme from 1 species
GUGCUGCUGAAGAGUCCCAAACUAGGACGAAAUAGCUGUCCAGUAC